rnacentral:rRNA from 1 species
AUGAUGAACGCUAGCUACAGGCUUAACACAUGCAAGUCGAGGGGCAGCAUGGUCUUAGCUUGCUAAGGCCGAUGGCGACCGGCGCACGGGUGAGUAACGCGUAUCCAACCUGCCUUACACUCUUGGACAGCCUUCUGAAAGGGAGAUUAAUACAAGAUGUUAUCAUGAGUAAGCAUUUUCGCAUGAUUAAAGGUUUACCGGUGUAAGAUGGGGAUGCGUUCCAUUAGAUAGUAGGCGGGGUAACGGCCCACCUAGUCUUCGAUGGAUAGGGGUUCUGAGAGGAAGGUCCCCCACAUUGGAACUGAGACACGGUCCAAACUCCUACGGGAGGCAGCAGUGAGGAAUAUUGGUCAAUGGACGAGAGUCUGAACCAGCCAAGUAGCGUGAAGGAUGAAGGUUCUAUGGAUUGUAAACUUCUUUUAUACGGGAAUAAACGGAUCCACGUGUGGAUUUUUGCAUGUACCGUAUGAAUAAGGAUCGGUUAACUCCGUGCCAGCAGCCGCGGUAAUACGGAGGAUCCGAGCGUUAUCCGGAUUUAUUGGGUUUAAAGGGAGCGUAGAUGGGUUGUUAAGUCAGUUGUGAAAGUUUGCGGCUCAACCGUAAAAUUGCAAUUGAUACUGGCAGUCUUGAGUACAGUUGAGGUAGGCGGAAUUCGUGGUGUAGCGGUGAAAUGCUUAGAUAUCACGAAGAACUCCGAUUGCGAAGGCAGCUUACUAACCUGUAACUGACAUUGAUGCUCGAAAGUGUGGGUAUCAAACAGGAUUAGAUACCCUGGUAGUCCACACGGUAAACGAUGAAUACUCGCUGUAGGCGAUAUACAGUCUGCGGCCAAGCGAAAGCAUUAAGUAUUCCACCUGGGGAGUACGCCGGCAACGGUGAAACUCAAAGGAAUUGACGGGGGCCCGCACAAGCGGAGGAACAUGUGGUUUAAUUCGAUGAUACGCGAGGAACCUUACCCGGGCUUAAAUUGCAACCGAAUAUGGCGGAAACGCUAUAGCUAGCAAUAGCGGUUGUGAAGGUGCUGCAUGGUUGUCGUCAGCUCGUGCCGUGAGGUGUCGGCUUAAGUGCCAUAACGAGCGCAACCCUUGCCGAUAGUUACUAACAGGUCAUGCUGAGGACUCUGUCGGGACUGCCAUCGUAAGAUGUGAGGAAGGUGGGGAUGACGUCAAAUCAGCACGGCCCUUACGUCCGGGGCUACACACGUGUUACAAUGGGGGGUACAGAGGGCUGCUACCACGCAAGUGGAUGCCAAUCCCAAAAACCUCUCUCAGUUCGGAUUGAAGUCUGCAACCCGACUUCAUGAAGCUGGAUUCGCUAGUAAUCGCGCAUCAGCCACGGCGCGGUGAAUACGUUCCCGGGCCUUGUACACACCGCCCGUCAAGCCAUGGGAGCCGGGGGUACCUAAAGUGCGUAACCGCAAGGAGCGCCCUAGGGUAAAACUGG